CACAUGCAAGUCGAACGGUAGCACAGAGGAGCUUGCUCCUUGGGUGACGAGUGGCGGACGGGUGAGUAAUGUCUGGGAAACUGCCCGAUGGAGGGGGAUAACUACUGGAAACGGUAGCUAAUACCGCAUAACGUCGCAAGACCAAAGAGGGGGACCUUCGGGCCUCUUGCCAUCGGAUGUGCCCAGAUGGGAUUAGCUAGUAGGUGGGGUAACGGCUCACCUAGGCGACGAUCCCUAGCUGGUCUGAGAGGAUGACCAGCCACACUGGAACUGAGACACGGUCCAGACUCCUACGGGAGGCAGCAGUGGGGAAUAUUGCACAAUGGGCGCAAGCCUGAUGCAGCCAUGCCGCGUGUAUGAAGAAGGCCUUCGGGUUGUAAAGUACUUUCAGCGAGGAGGAAGGUGUUGAGGUUAAUAACCUCAGCAAUUGACGUUACUCGCAGAAGAAGCACCGGCUAACUCCGUGCCAGCAGCCGCGGUAAUACGGAGGGUGCAAGCGUUAAUCGGAAUUACUGGGCGUAAAGCGCACGCAGGCGGUCUGUCAAGUCGGAUGUGAAAUCCCCGGGCUCAACCUGGGAACUGCAUCCGAAACUGGCAGGCUAGAGUCUUGUAGAGGGGGGUAGAAUUCCAGGUGUAGCGGUGAAAUGCGUAGAGAUCUGGAGAAAUACCGGUGGCGAAGGCGGCCCCCUGGACAAAGACUGACGCUCAGGUGCGAAAGCGUGGGGAGCAAACAGAAUUAGAUACCCUGGUAGUCCACGCCGUAAACGAUGUCGACUUGGAGGUUGUGCCCUUGAGGCGUGGCUUCCGGAGCUAACGCGUUAAGUCGACCGCCUGGGGAGUACGGCCGCAAGGUUAAAACUCAAAUGAAUUGACGGGGGCCCGCACAAGCGGUGGAGCAUGUGGUUUAAUUUGAUGCAACGCGAAGAACCUUACCUACUCUUGACAUCCAGAGAACUUAGCAGAGAUGCUUUGGUGCCUUCGGGAACUCUGAGACAGGUGCUGCAUGGCUGUCGUCAGCUCGUGUUGUGAAAUGUUGGGUUAAGUCCCGCAACGAGCGCAACCCUUAUCCUUUGUUGCCAGCGAUUCGGUCGGGAACUCAAAGGAGACUGCCAGUGAUAAACUGGAGGAAGGUGGGGAUGACGUCAAGUCAUCAUGGCCCUUACGAGUAGGGCUACACACGUGCUACAAUGGCAUAUACAAAGAGAAGCGACCUCGCGAGAGCAAGCGGACCUCAUAAAGUAUGUCGUAGUCCGGAUUGGAGUCUGCAACUCGACUCCAUGAAGUCGGAAUCGCUAGUAAUCGUGGAUCAGAAUGCCACGGUGAAUACGUUCCCGGGCCUUGUACACACCGCCCGUCACACCAUGGGAGUGGGUUGCAAAAGAAGUAGGUAGCUUAACCUUCGGGAGGGCGCUUACCACUUUGUGAUUC
rnacentral:rRNA from 1 species